GCGCGUCGUCCCUCUCGCCCUUGUGUUUCUUUGACUCUGGUCUCCUCAGGCCGAGUGGAGGAGCGGCGCCCGCCUCGGCCCAGUAGAUGGGGCUCAAGAGCCACUCACCGGCAGGAACGAGUGCCCUUCUCCGAGCGAUUCUGAUUCUCGAGCGCAGCCCCGAUGUGUGCAAUUAGACUGCUAAUGAUAAGCUGUACUUUGGCUGACAUUUUGCAUAUAAAUUACACAUUUGCGUGAAAUAGCUUCUUAUAUUGUUAAUAGAUGGAAUACGAAUUGUGUUAAGUCCUUCAGACGGAGAGAGAGAGAGAGGGAAACCGGGCAGAGAAUUAAACACAGACAUUAAACAUCUCUUCAGCGUUUCAUGCCGCUGCGUCCGGAGCCCCGGAGCAUGGGAAACCGCUUACGUUCUGAAUCAGUGAGAGCAGAGGUGGCGCAGUAAUCAGAAGGUUGUGAGUUGGAAUCCCAGUCCCGCCAGGCUACCACUGUUGCACCUGACCAUCACACCCAUACAGAGCUGUGAAAAGGUAUUUGCCCCCAUCCUGAUUUCUUCUGUUUUUUGGUGUAUAUCUCAUGCUAAAUAUAACAUAAUAAAACAUUAACAUAAAAACAUAACACAAACCUGAGUAAACACACGAUAGUUUUUAAUUUUUUUAAAAAAUUUUAUUGAAGCAAAAAAAAAAAAGUUAUCCAACACCUAUCACCCAUGUGAAAAACUAAUUGCCCCCUUAAACUUAAAAUCUGGUUGCGCUACCUUUAGCAGCAAGACUGCAACCAAACGCUUCUGAUAACUGGAGAUCAGUCUUUCACUUACUUCUAGGACUAGGAUUUACUCCUACGCUUUGGAUCGUUGUCUUGUUGCGUAAUCCAGUUACGACUGAGUUUCAGCUUACGGACUGAAGACGGGACAUUCUCCUUUAGGAUUUUCUGGUAGAGAGCAGAAUUCAUGCUUCUUUCAAUUACUGCAAGUUGCCCAGGUCCUGAAGCAGUAAAGCAUCCCCACAGCAUCACACUGCCUCCACCAUGCUUGACCGUAGCCACGACGUUCUUUUUGUGUUUGGUUUACGCCAGAUGUAACGGGAACCCUGUCUUCCAAACAGUUCCACUUUCGACUCUUCAGCCCACAGAACAUUCUCCCAAAAGGUUUGAGGAUCAUCACGGUGUGUUUUGGCAAAAAUCAGGCGGGUCUCAAUGUUCUUCUGGGUCAGCAGUGGUUUUCACCUCGCCACUCUUCCAUGUAUGCCAUUUUCCCCCAGUGUCUUUCUGAUAGUGGAGUCAUGAACAGUGACCUUUACUGAUGCAAGAGAGGCCUGUAGAUCCUUUGAUGUUGUCCUUGACUCUUUUGUGACUUCCUGGAUGAGUCGUCGCUGUGCUCUUGGAGGAAUUUUGGAAGGUCGGCCAGUUCUGGGAAGGUUCACUACUGUGCAGAGUUUUUCCAUUUGGAGGUAACGGCUCUCGCUGUGGCACUUCGGAGUCCCAGAAUCUUUGCAAUAGCCUUGUAACCUUCAAAGACUGAUGUAUUUCAUUCACCUUCUUCCUCAUCAUUUCUGGAAUUUUGGAACUUUGACAUAGUGUGUUACUGAGUAAGACCUUUUUACCAACUUCAUGCUGCUGAGAAAGUUCUAUGUAAUUGAUAGUUAAUGUGACCGAACAGUGUUUGCAGUAAUCAGGCCUGGUUGCGUCUAGUCCAGCUGAACCCCGUUAUGAAUGCAGUUUCACACAUUUGGGGAAUUAUUAACUUCGAGGGCAAAUACAUUUUCACACAGGCCCAGUUGGUACCGGAUAGGACGGGAUGUCCGACAGGAACCUAUGAAUAAAAGGGUCCGCCAGAUGAGUUAAUAGUGUUUUUCAAAACAGUGGAGCAUAAUUAUUACGAGCCGUGGCGUUUUAUCAGCCGGUCUACCACUGGAUUUCUGUGACGCCGUUUUUGUGGCAAUAAUUUUUAUUUAAAAAAAAAAUUAAAUAAAAAUAUGGUUGCUCCGAUGUAGUUUAUACACAACAGCCAGGCAAGAUGAUGAUACAAUUGUAUGUUUGUAAUAGAAAAUGUGCACUGUAAGAUAGUUUACAAUAUCAUACCUACUGCAAUAUCUUAUCACAUUUUUUUAAAAAUUCCUUUUCAUUGUUGUAUUAAUUUUUUUUUCUCUCUGAGUAACAAAACUCUUAACAGCGUAAAACUUUUGAACCGGUCUUUGAUUAGUAUCCCUUUCUUUAAGCGGCUUUUAAACGGGUAUUUAAAAAAAAAAAAAAAAACGUAUUUUAAUUAUGCGUUAAGACCUAAAACGACUUAAAUAAAAAUACAUUUUUAAAAAGCUGAACUAACUGAUUCACAGAUAUAAACGACAUACCGCUACAGUGCUGGAAAAGUUAUGGUUAGCAAACCUCAAUGUCGCGAUACGUAUACAUCCUGUGUUAUUGAGUAUCGCGAUACGAUACUGUCGCCAUAUCGUUCACGCCUCUUUGAUUUUUUUUAAAAUGCGUAAUGAGGUUGUUUCUGUUUGAUAGAGAGCGCCGAGAAACACCGUACAUCCGUCAGUCCUCCUCUUGUCUCGUCACUGCCGAUAUAUUAAUAAUAUAUCCCGAUGCUGCAUAAUUAAAUAUGAAUCACCGUGUGAGACCUUUAAUAUUAAAGGCAUUUAGGCAGAUUUUCCUGUAGCGCACAUGCAGUUCAUCGGUGUAUUAAACAGAGAAUAAACACACACACACACACACACACACACACACACACACAUAUACACAUCGCUGCUUAUUUCCUACGAUGAUAUAUAACUUAUCUGCCUGGUCGUGUACUCUGUAGCUCGAGGUUAGGAUUAACCCCACACCUUUUUUUUUGUGCAUGCGCUCGCUCUUUCUCUAGACCUCAGAGGUAAAAUUUCCAUCCUGAUAUUUUCCGACUUUCUUUUUUUUUUUUCUUUCUU
ensembl:lncRNA